rnacentral:rRNA from 1 species
UAACGGCGAGUGAAGAGGGAAGAGCUCAAAUUUGAAAGCUGGUACCUUCGGUAUCCGCGUUGUAACCUCGAGACACGUUUUCCGUGCGGCGCUAUGGACAAGUUCCUUGGAACAGGACAUCGUAGAGGGUGAAAAUCCCGUACUUGCCAUGGAUGUACCGUGCUUUGCGAUACGUGCUCUAAGAGUCGAGUUGUUUGGGAUUGCAGCUCAAAAUGGGUGGUAGACUCCAUCUAAAGCUAAAUAUCGGGGAGAGACCGAUAGCGAACAAGUACCGUGAGGGAAAGAUGAAAAGCACUUUGGAAAGAGAGUUAAAAGUACGUGAAAUUGUCGAAAGGGAAGCGCUUGAAGUCAGCCAUGCCGCUCAGGACUCAGCCUGGCUUUUGCUUGGUGUAUUUCCUGGGUAGCAAGUCAGCAUUGGUUUGGAUCGUCGGAGAAGCAUAGUCGGAAUGUGGCGCCCUCGGGCGUGUUAUAGCCUUCUAUUGGAUACGACGAUCUAGACCAAGGAACGCAGCGCGCCUUAUGGCGGGUCUUCGGACCACCUUCGCGCUUAGGAUGCUGGCGU